rnacentral:sRNA from 1 species
UGAUUGGCUCCUGUAUAAACAGGAGCCAGUGCAAACGCAACAGUUCUGUUAUUCAACCCGAUAAUAUCUCGUUGUUUUUAAACAGGUUUGUUGCGUGUGCUUCAAAUUAAGUAAUGGAAAUUGAUCGCACAUGAAUACUCUAUUAGUUAACCAGUUACAAAAAAAACUGGGUUAUACUUUUAAA